rnacentral:lncRNA from 1 species
ACUAGAAUUGUGAAGCCAACGUCAAGUGUAGUAGACACCUUUCUCAAAUCAUAAGGGAACACAUAAACCACUAUCCAUUGGCAAUGCAUUCCACCACUUUCAAAUCUAUCUUGGCAUUUAAAAGCUAACAGUACAAUAAUAUUAUGCUCUUACACACCUUUUUAUACAAAAUAUCAUGAAUGCUUUCUCAGCAGCACUCAUGACAGUACACAUAAAAUCUACUAUGAAGGGCAUAACUAGAGUUGCAACUCAGAUGUGAUUUAUAGCCCAAGGUAGCAGGUACACAUAUUGCACCAACAUAUUCAACUUUGUGUUUAAGUUGUAGCAGAAGUCUCCAACAUUGGAUAGCACAUGAACAAAAGGCAUUUCUCAUUCAUGAUUUUAGCACCAAAUGUUAAUAUCCGCUCCCAUGGGCUGGGUGUGCUACAAAAUAUGAAACAAAUUCUAGUCAAAUAUUUGCAAAAACAAUCAACAUGCUUUAUUCGAAAGGGAGCAAGAUAUAAAAAACCAUUUAGCUGCCAUGGCCAACCUGAUUAAUAGAACAAUCUACAGAUCUUAGACCUUUCUGGACACUACUUCCUCUGCAAAGAAGGAAAAACCCUUAGCUGCAAUCUACGAAAACCUAAUAAAAUAUAUAUUACUUACAAUUUAAUUUACCUUUUCCUUUUGUUCAUGGCCUCCUCCGAACCCCUCUUCAAUCUCUUACCACUGCCCUUUGUGUUUGCAUCCUC